rnacentral:lncRNA from 1 species
UGUUUUAAGAUUUCAUUCUCAGCCUCAAGCUUGGAGAAAAGGUUAGUACUUAGAAGGGCUGUUUCAUGCUCUUCUUGAACUUUCUUUUUCUCCUCUUGAAGAAGUGAAUGAUCCUUAGGCAAAACUCUGAACCACUUCAUGUAUUGAUGUCGAUCAGUGGUUAUGCCAUUCAGUGCAGUUCUUAAAUUAUUUAUGUCUACAUCAGGAGAGUUGAAGUCAAAUACCUCAUCGAGACUUACUUCAUAUAUGUUGGAGUUUUGUUUGUCCUUUGCAUGUUUGUCCAUUAGGCACAGAUUAGCCAUUUGUGGUUCUUCAUCAUCUCUAGAAUCAGGAUUGGAGUCAUUGUCUGAAUCACUCCACGAUCCUCCAGCUACCAGGCCUUUGUCUCUCUUCUGAGGCCUUUUGUUACCUUUGUAUUCCUUCUUUGCAUGUGAUUUCUUCUUUAGUUCUUCUCUGAGAGGUUUGUUGCUAUUGGCAAUGAAGUGGCCAGGCUUCUUGCAGUUGUAACAUAGAUCAUUUAUUUGCUCCUGGCUACUGUAAUUGCUGACCUUCUUUGGCUUGCUGGUUUUGCCUUGACGUAUGAACCUUCUUAGUCUUUUU